rnacentral:rRNA from 1 species
UACGUAGGGGGGCAAGCGUUGUCCGGAUUUAUUGGGCGUAAAGAGCGUGUAGGCGGCCUGACAGGUCUGCUGUGAAAACUCGAGGCUCAACCUCGAGAUGUCGGCGGAAACCGUCUGGCUAGAGUCCGGAAGAGGAGAGUGGAAUUCCUGGUGUAGCGGUGAAAUGCGCAGAUAUCAGGAGGAACACCGAUGGCGAAGGCAGGUACUCUGGG